GGAAUUUUGCGCAAUGGGGGAAACCCUGACGCAGCAACGCCGCGUGGAGGAUGAAGGUUUUCGGAUUGUAAACUCCUGUCAGUGGGGAAAAAGCGAACUGGCUUAAUACGUCAGUGAGUUGAUUGUACCCGCAGAGGAAGCCCCGGCUAACUCUGUGCCAGCAGCCGCGGUAAUACAGAGGGGGCAAGCGUUAUUCGGAAUUAUUGGGCGUAAAGGGCGCGUAGGCGGCCGCUCAAGUGGAAGGUGAAAUCCCUCGGCUCAACCGAGGAACUGCCUUCCAAACUGAGUGGCUUGAGUCCGGGAGAGGUGAGUGGAAUUCCCAGUGUAGCGGUGAAAUGCGUAGAUAUUGGGAGGAACACCGGUGGCGAAGGCGGCUCACUGGACCGGAACUGACGCUGAGGCGCGAAAGCGUGGGGAGCAAAC
rnacentral:rRNA from 1 species